AGCGCGGGGCAACCUGGCGGCGAGUGGCGAACGGGUGAGUAAUAUAUCGGAACGUACCCAGAAGUGGGGGAUAACGUAGCGAAAGUUACGCUAAUACCGCAUACGAUCUACGGAUGAAAGUGGGGGACCUUCGGGCCUCAUGCUUGUGGAGCGGCCGAUAUCUGAUUAGCUAGUUGGUGGGGUAAAGGCUCACCAAGGCGACGAUCAGUAGCUGGUCUGAGAGGACGACCAGCCACACUGGGACUGAGACACGGCCCAGACUCCUACGGGAGGCAGCAGUGGGGAAUUUUGGACAAUGGGCGCAAGCCUGAUCCAGCAAUGCCGCGUGAGUGAAGAAGGCCUUCGGGUUGUAAAGCUCUUUUGUCAGGGAAGAAACGGCUCUAGCUAAUAUCUGGGGCUAAUGACGGUACCUGAAGAAUAAGCACCGGCUAACUACGUGCCAGCAGCCGCGGUAAUACGUAGGGUGCAAGCGUUAAUCGGAAUUACUGGGCGUAAAGCGUGCGCAGGCGGUUUUGUAAGUCUGACGUGAAAUCCCCGGGCUCAACCUGGGAAUUGCGUUGGAGACUGCAAGGCUGGAGUCUGGCAGAGGGGGGUAGAAUUCCACGUGUAGCAGUGAAAUGCGUAGAGAUGUGGAGGAACACCGAUGGCGAAGGCAGCCCCCUGGGUCAAGACUGACGCUCAUGCACGAAAGCGUGGGGAGCAAACAGGAUUAGAUACCCUGGUAGUCCACGCCCUAAACGAUGUCUACUAGUUGUCGGGUUUUAAUUAACUUGGU
rnacentral:rRNA from 1 species